GACGAACGCUGGCGGCGUGCCUAAUACAUGCAAGUCGAACGCUUUUUCUUUCACCGGAGCUUGCUCCACCGAAAGAAAAAGAGUGGCGAACGGGUGAGUAACACGUGGGUAACCUGCCCAUCAGAAGAGGAUAACACUUGGAAACAGGUGCUAAUACCGUAUAACAAGUAAAACCGCAUGGUUUUACUUUGAAAGGCGCUUUUGCGUCACUGAUGGAUGGACCCGCGGUGCAUUAGCUAGUUGGUGAGGUAACGGCUCACCAAGGCAACGAUGCAUAGCCGACCUGAGAGGGUGAUCGGCCACAUUGGGACUGAGACACGGCCCAAACUCCUACGGGAGGCAGCAGUAGGGAAUCUUCGGCAAUGGACGAAAGUCUGACCGAGCAACGCCGCGUGAGUGAAGAAGGUUUUAGGAUCGUAAAACUCUGUUGUUAGAGAAGAACAAGGAUGAGAGUAAAAUGUUCAUCCCUUGACGGUAUCUAACCAGAAAGCCACGGCUAACUACGUGCCAGCAGCCGCGGUAAUACGUAGGUGGCAAGCGUUGUCCGGAUUUAUUGGGCGUAAAGCGAGCGCAGGCGGUUUCUUAAGUCUGAUGUGAAAGCCCCCGGCUCAACCGGGGAGGGUCAUUGGAAACUGGGAAACUUGAGUGCAGAAGAGGAGAGUGGAAUUCCAUGUGUAGCGGUGAAAUGCGUAGAUAUAUGGAGGAACACCAGUGGCGAAGGCGGCUCUCUGGUCCGUAACUGACGCUGAGGCUCGAAAGCGUGGGGAGCAAACAGG
rnacentral:rRNA from 1 species